rnacentral:tRNA from 1 species
GGGGAUAUUAGCUCAGUUGGUAGAGUGCUUGUUUUGCAUGCACAAGGGCCUGGAUUCGAUCCCCAGAUCCCCA